GGACACAUUUAAUUGAGCCCGUCAAAUUAAGUGCCAGCUGACGCGGUUAAACUUAAGGGCUGGUCUUUAUAAGUAAAAAGGCGUAGAGGAUGUGUAGGCCAAGAAAUUAUCUAAGAAGGUAAAUGGAAUUUUUCUGGAGCGGUAAAAUGUGAAGAUAGAAAAUAGAACACCUAAGGUUAAAACUAUUUACCACAAAAUAGGCUGAAACAUGAGAGAGUGGGGAGCAAACAGGAUUAGAGACCCUGGUAGUCCACUCUGUAAACUUUGAAGAUUAUGUUUAGCAGGCCCGAAAGGUAAAAUCUUCCGCCUGAGUAGUACGAUCGCAAGAUUAAAAUUCAAAAACUUUGGCUGUUCACUACUUCGAUUAGAGGAGCGUGUAGUUUAAUUCGAUGGUCCGCGUGUUACCUUACCCCAGCUUGAAUCUAUGACCGGUAUUGCAUGGCCGUCGUAAGUCCCUGUGUUAAACUAAAAGGGACCCAAUCCGGGCGUUUGCCUGAAGGAAGUCAGGUCUUAUGAUCCGAAUGUUGGGGGAUUUAUGCGCUACAUUUUCUUAUAUAAUGAGAGACUUGAGAGGUAAGCCUCU
rnacentral:rRNA from 1 species